GAUGAAGAACGCAGCGAAAUGCGAUAAGUAAUGUGAAUUGCAGAAUUCAGUGAAUCAUCGAAUCUUUAAACGCAUCUUGCGCUCCUUGGUAUUCUGAGGAGCAUGCCUGUUUGAGUGUCAUUAAAUUCUCAACUACACUGACUUUGAAUUGGUGUGGCUUGGAUUUGGGGGGAAAAUUGUUGUGGGCUUUUUGUAUAGUCUGCUCCCCUGAAAUUGAUUAGCGGUACCUUUGUGGAACUGUCUACAGGUGUGAUAAUUAUCUACAUCUUAGACAUCUGCUGGAAUGCUGCUUUCUAAACCUUACUUGUAUUGACAAUCUUGACCUCAAAUCAGGUAGGACUACCCGCUGAACUUAAGCAUAUCAAUAAGCGGAGGA
rnacentral:misc_RNA from 1 species